AAUGGUAUGGUGUAGUGGUUUGAGUGUUGGACUAUAACUCCAGAGAACAGGGUUCGAUUCGCAGCUCAGCUA